rnacentral:rRNA from 1 species
GACGAACGCUGGCGGCGUGCCUAAUACAUGCAAGUUGAGCGCUGAAGGUUGGUACUUGUACCAACUGGAUGAGCAGCGAACGGGUGAGUAACGCGUGGGGAAUCUGCCUUUGAGCGGGGGACAACAUUUGGAAACGAAUGCUAAUACCGCAUAAAAACUUUAAACACAAGUUUUAAGUUUGAAAGAUGCAAUUGCAUCACUCAAAGAUGAUCCCGCGUUGUAUUAGCUAGUCGGUGAGGUAAAGGCUCACCAAGGCGAUGAUACAUAGCCGACCUGAGAGGGUGAUCGGCCACAUUGGGACUGAGACCCGGCCCAAACUCCUACGGGAGGCAGCAGUAGGGAAUCUUCGGCAAUGGACGAAAGUCUGACCGAGCAACGCCGCGUGAGUGAAGAAGGUUUUCGGAUCGUAAAACUCUGUUGGUAGAGAAGAACGUUGGUGAGAGUGGAAAGCUCAUCAAGUGACGGUAACUACCCAGAAAGGGACGGCUAACUACGUG